rnacentral:lncRNA from 1 species
GGCUGACGCGCCACUAUGUAGCGGGUUUCGGGCGGGCCACGCGUGCGGGACAGGAACCCAACCCCAGCCGACCUUGAGCUCCAGGAGUUCGUCUCUUACGUCUGCGGAAGUGCAGCUGCCUCAGUUCUUAGCGCAGGUUGACAACUACAGGCACAAGCCAUUGAAGCUGGAAUGUCCUGUUGCUGGUAAAGAAAUGGAUUAGUGAUAACUCAAGUUUCAUCACCUCUCUACAAGUUUCACGCUGUUUAAGUCAUGAACCUACAAAAGCCUGUGAAAAAAUCUUUGAAGAUGCUCAGCUUGUUUCAGUCUGAAAUUUCUCCAAGACCAAUGAACAAAACAGGAUCAUGCCCUGAAUACACACCCAAGCUGCAGGCUCCUGCUUAGCCCUAUUUUGGUUUGGCCUCCAUGAGAUCUUCAGCCACAAUAGCAGGAGAUAAAAAUCUUCCUAGAAGCUUUCAUCAGCUGCAAGUUUUCUUACAGAAUGAAACUUUUCUGCUAUUUUUCUCAUAGUUAAUUGGCUAUUUGAGAAAACCGAAUUUCUGGCUCUCAGCAUUUAAUUGGAUUCUGUGGGUGACUGGAUGACCGCUUUGCACAUCACCAUGGGUAUCAUCCUUACCUUCUUUAAACCUUUUGUGCCAGUCAAAAAUUCUUGCUCUUGAUAUGUCAUCACCGGAAACUACUUUUUUUUUUUGUUUCUCUUUUGUGACAG